rnacentral:rRNA from 1 species
UCANCCAUAGUGUGCUCUGGAAACUGUCUGACUUGAGUGCAGAAGGGGAGAGUGGAAUUCCAUGUGUAGCGGUGAAAUGCGUAGAUAUAUGGAGGAACACCAGUGGCGAAAGCGGCUCUCUGGUCUGUCACUGACGCUGAGGCUCGAAAGCGUGGGUAGCGAACAGGAUUAGAUACCCUGGUAGUNCACGCCGUAAACGAUGAGUGCUAGGUGUUAGGCCCUUUCCGGGGCUUAGUGCCGGAGCUAACGCAAUAAGCACUCCGCCUGGGGAGUACGACCGCAAGGUUGAAACUCAAAGGAAUUGACGGGGGCCCGCACAAGCGGUGGAGCAUGUGGUUUAAUUCGAAGCAACGCGAAGAACCUUACCAGGUCUUGACAUCCCGAUGCUAUUCUUAGAGAUAGGAAGUUACUUCGGUACAUCGGAGACAGGUGGUGCAUGGUUGUCGUCAGCUCGUGUCGUGAGAUGUUGGGUUAAGUCCCGCAACGAGCGCAACCCUUAUUGUUAGUUGCCAUCAUUAAGUUGGGCACUCUAGCGAGACUGCCGGUAAUAAACCGGAGGAAGGUGGGGAUGACGUCAAAUCAUCAUGCCCCUUAUGACCUGGGCUACACACGUGCUACAAUGGUCGGUACAACGAGUUGCGAGCCGGUGACGGCAAGCUAAUCUCUGAAAGCCGAUCUCAGUUCGGAUUGGAGGCUGCAACUCGCCUCCAUGAAGUCGGAAUCGCUAGUAAUCGCGGAUCAGCACGCCGCGGUGAAUACGUUCCCGGGCCUUGUACACACCGCCCGUCACACCACGAGAGUUUGUAACACCCGAAGUCGGUGAGGUANCCUUUUAGGG